GCUAUGGUAUCCAGGGUGGUUGCUAAGGUGUUGCUAGGUGGUUGCUAGGGUGUUGCUAGGCAGUUGCUAGGGUGUUGCUAGGCGGUUGCUAGGGUGUUACUAUGGUAUCCGGGGUGGUUGCUAAGGUGUUGCUAGGUGGUUGCUAGGUGGUUGCUAGGGUGUUCCUAGGCGGUUGCUAAGGUGUUGCUAUGGUAUCCGGGGUG